rnacentral:rRNA from 1 species
CCUACGGGAGGCAGCAGUGGGGGAUAUUGCACAAUGGGGGGAACCCUGAUGCAGCGACGCCGCGUGGGUGAAGAAGCGCCUCGGCGCGUAAAGCCCUGUCAGCAGGGAAGAAAAUGACGGUACCUGAAGAAGAAGCCCCGGCUAACUACGUGCCAGCAGCCGCGGUAAUACGUAGGGGGCAAGCGUUAUCCGGAUGUACUGGGUGUAAAGGGGGGGCAGAGGGCGAGGCAAGCCAGGAGUGAAAGCCCGGGGGCCAAACCCGGGACUGAUGUUGAAACUGCGUGGCUGGAGUGCAGGAGGGGCAGGCGGAAUGCGUGGUGUAGCGGUGAAAUGCGUAGAUAUCAGGAAGAACUCCGGUGGCGAAGGCGGCCUGCUGGCCUGCAACUGACGUUGAGGCCCGAAAGCGUGGGGAGCAAACAGGAUUAGAUACCCGAGUAGUC